rnacentral:tRNA from 1 species
GUUUUUGAGGAAAAGAGGUCUAAAAAACUUCUUUCUGUUCCUACCAUAAAGACC